rnacentral:rRNA from 1 species
UACGUAGGCAGCAAGCGUUGUUCGGAGUUACUGGGCGUAAAGCGCGCGUAGGCGGCUUGUCAAGUCAGGGGUGAAAUCCUGGGGCUUAACCCCAGAAUUGCCUUUGAAACUGUCAAGCUAGAGUGUCGGAGGGGAUAGCGGAAUUGCUAAUGUAGAGGUGAAAUUCGUAGAUAUUAGCAGGAACACCGGUGGCGAAGGCGGCUAUCUGGACGACAACUGACGCUGAGGCGCGAAAGCGUGGGGAUCAAACAGG